GUAGGGAAUAUUGGGCAAUGGUCGGAAGACUGACCCAGCCAUGCCGCGUGCAGGAAGACGGCCCUCUGGGUUGUAAACUGCUUUUAUCAGGGAAGAAAAAGGCCAUGCGUGGCAAAUUGCCGGUACCAGAGGAAUAAGCACCGGCUAACUCCGUGCCAGCAGCCGCGGUAAUACGGAGGGUGCGAGCGUUGUCCGGAUUUAUUGGGUUUAAAGGGUGCGUAGGCGGCGGAGUAAGUCAGCGGUGAAAGACUUCGGGUUAACCGGAGCAGUGCCGUUGAUACUGGUUGGCUUGAGUGUCGGAGGGGUACAUGGAAUUGAUGGUGUAGCGGUGAAAUGCAUAGAUACCAUCAGGAACACCGAUAGCGAAGGCAUUGUACUGGCCGACAACUGACGCUGAUGCACGAAAGUGUGGGGAUCGAACAGGAUUAGAAACCCGGGUAGUCC
rnacentral:rRNA from 1 species